rnacentral:lncRNA from 1 species
UGUGUUGCUUUCAUUUAUAACAAGUGUGAGUGUGUUUAAGUGUUUCAAGUGUGUGGUGUUAGCAAUAAAUUCUUACCUAAUCCAAUAACAACCAAGCAUUGAUCACAUUAGGGUAGUACAUUUGAUUAGACAGUCCUAAUUAAAGCUAACUACCAAGAUACUAGACUCUACCAAGCAUUGAUCACUUAAGUAAAUUAAAGCUAACUACCAAGAGUGUUAGGUACGACCAAUAUUAAGAGUGUUGAGACAUAUACCGAAGAUAAGGUGUGAUCUAAAACAAACCUGAUUUAGUUGCUUCAGACAUUCCUUUGAGCUUUAAUCGUC